rnacentral:lncRNA from 1 species
UUCGGAUUAACCUACAAAUCAAUCGGAUUAAAUUCUUAAACCCGAUUGGUUUUGCAAUUCGGUUAAUAGUAACAACCGCUUACAUUGAAAAAAAAAAAAAAACUAAAACUGUUACGGUGCAACCCGAUCCCAAUUGACAAAUGACAAUUUCCCAAAACCACAGAACGAACACUAGCAGCCAGCAUCUCGUCGACUCCUUCUCUCUCGAAUUCGGCCGCCGGUUGCUUCCACGUCGGCACGACAGCCCGGACAGCACACCACGACAGCCAACACAGCCUCACGAGUCCACGACAGCAUCGCUGCUGACGGCUUCAAUAGACCACAGCAGCCCACGACAGUAUCUCAUGCCUCACGGUAGCCCUAGC